AGGCAGCAGCUUUCAGGUAACCUAACAUCCGAGGAGGUGAUCCAGCCCACGCUCACGAGGAAGCCGUUCCCAGCCUUCCAUGGGAACCAGAUGAAGAAAUAAUAAAGAAAAUGCCAAGAAAAUUAGCCCCGCAAGCCAGGAAGCCCGGGGCCUUUGCUCAACCCACAGGCCGCAAGAGACAGUGCCAGAGUCACCUCCUUCUGCAUCAUGGCUGGGCUGAGUGACCCUCACUGUGGACAAGGACCAUGCUGUACACUCUGGGAGCUGCCAACACCCCCAGGGCCCAACCCUGCUGGAGGGUAAGCUCAUGUGAUCAAGGAGCUCUGAUGCCUCUGCACAUGCGGUGAGGGCCAGGAGGCAUCUGACAGCAAUCCCGGGGCAGCCCAACCCAUGAACUGGAGAGGAGUUACCCCAACCACAGGGGCCUGGGACAGGGCCUGCAAAGGAGACCUGAGUGACAGGGUCGUGGCCAAAAGAAAAGGUGCCUGGGCAUCCACAUGCUCUUGUCCAUUCUGUCACUCCUAAAUCUCUAUUCUCUGCAUUUCCAGUGGCUGCCUGGUCUGCAUCCUCAUCCACAGCUCAGGUCCCUCCCAGUUCCCUUUAUUGUCAGCCCCACUCCUGCUCUGCACAGGCUGUGCUCCUCCCCUGUGGCCAUGCCACCUCCCACUUACCCUCUGACCUCAGGGUGUCUGCAGAGCCCACUGCGGCUCCCUUGAACUGAGACCAAGGAGGCGCCGC
rnacentral:lncRNA from 10 species